rnacentral:rRNA from 1 species
GAUGAACGCUGGCGGCGUGCCUAAUACAUGCAAGUCGAGCGAACAGACGAGGAGCUUGCUCCUCUGACGUUAGCGGCGGACGGGUGAGUAACACGUGGAUAACCUACCUAUAAGACUGGGAUAACUUCGGGAAACCGGAGCUAAUACCGGAUAAUAUAUUGAACCGCAUGGUUCAAUAGCGUAAGACGGUUUUGCUGUCACUUAUAGAUGGAUCCGCGCCGCAUUAGCUAGUUGGUAAGGUAACGGCUUACCAAGGCAACGAUGCGUAGCCGACCUGAGAGGGUGAUCGGCCACACUGGAACUGAGACACGGUCCAGACUCCUACGGGAGGCAGCAGUAGGGAAUCUUCCGCAAUGGGCGAAAGCCUGACGGAGCAACGCCGCGUGAGUGAUGAAGGUCUUCGGAUCGUAAAACUCUGUUAUUAGGGAAGAACAAAUGUGUAAGUAACUAUGCACGUCUUGACGGUACCUAAUCAGAAAGCCACGGCUAACUACGUG